rnacentral:rRNA from 1 species
AACGAACGCUGGCGGCAUGCCUAACACAUGCAAGUCGAACGAGACCUUCGGGUCUAGUGGCGCACGGGUUCGUAACGCGUGGGAACCUGCCCUUAGGUUCGGAAUAACUCCCCGAAAGGGGUGCUAAUACCGGAUAAUGUCUUCGGACCAAAGAUUUAUCGCCUUUGGAUGGGCCCGCGUUGGAUUAGCUAGUUGGUAGGGUAAAAGCCUACCAAGGCGACGAUCCAUAGCUGGUCUGAGAGGAUGAUCAGCCACACUGGGACUGAGACACGGCCCAGACUCCUACGGGAGGCAGCAGUGGGGAAUAUUGGACAAUGGGCGAAAGCCUGAUCCAGCAAUGCCGCGUGAGUGAUGAAGGCAUUAGGGUUGUAAAGCUCUUUUACCCAGGAUGAUAAUGACGGUACCGGGAGAAUAAGCUCCGGCUAACUCCGUG